UUUCAUUGUGUAUCAAGCAAGUUUAUCGGCACCAUUUUCCCAGUAACAUUUGUUCACUUCGUAUCUCUGUGUCACGUUUUGGUAAUUCUCCCAAUAUUUCAAACUUUUUCACUAUUAUUAAAUUUGUUAUGGUGAU